GACGAACGCUGGCGGCGUGCUUAACACAUGCAAGUCGAACGAGAAGAGAUGAGAAGCUUGCUUCUUAUUGAUUCGAGUGGCAAACGGGUGAGUAACGCGUAAGCAACCUGCCCUUCAGAUGGGGACAACAGCUGGAAACGGCUGCUAAUACCGAAUACGUUCUUUUUGUCGCAUGGCAGAGAGAAGAAAGGGAGGCUCUUCGGAGCUUUCGCUGAAGGAGGGGCUUGCGUCUGAUUAGCUAGUUGGUAAGGUAAUGGCUUACCAAGGCGAUGAUGCAUAGCCGAGUUGAGAGACUGAUCGGCCACAAUGGAACUGAGACACGGUCCAU
rnacentral:rRNA from 1 species